rnacentral:rRNA from 1 species
CAGUAGCCGCGGGAAAACGUAGGUGGCAAGCGUUGUCCGGAAUUAUUGGGCGUAAAGGGCUCGCAGGCGGUUUCUUAAGUCUGAUGUGAAAGCCCCCGGCUCAACCCGGGAGGGUCAUUGGAAACUGGGAAACUCGAGUGCAGAAGAGGAGAGUGGAAUUCCACGUGUAGCGGUGAAAUGCGUAGAGAUGUGGAGGAACACCAGUGGCGAAGGCGACUCUCUGGUCUGUAACUGACGCUGAGGAGCGAAAGCGUGGGGAGCGAACAGGAUUAGAGACCCCCGUAGUCCCUGUCUCUUAUAC